rnacentral:rRNA from 1 species
AUUGAACGCUGGCGGCAGGCCUAACACAUGCAAGGCGAACGGUAACAGGAAGCAGCUUGCUGCUUCGCUGACGAGUGGCGGACGGGUGAGUCAUGUCUGGGAAGCUGCCUGAUGGAGGGGGAUAACUACUGGAAACGGUAACUAAUACCGCAUACUGUCGCAAGACCAAAGAGGGUGACCUUCGGGCCCCUUGCCAUCUGAUGUGCCCGGAUGGUAUUAGAUUGUUGGUGGGGUAACGGCUCACCAAGGCGACGAUCCCUCGCUGGUCUCAGAGGAUGACAAGCCACACUGGAGCUGAGACACGGUCCAGACGCCUACGGGAGGCAGCAGUGGGGAAUAGUGGACAAUGGGCGCAAGCAUGAUGCAGCGAGGCCGCGUGUAUGAAGAAGGCCUUCGGGUUGUAAAGUACUUUCAGCGGGGAGGAAGGGAGUAAAGUUAAGGCCUUGGCUCAUUGACGUUACCCGCAGAAGAAGCACCGGCUAACUCCGUG